rnacentral:rRNA from 1 species
UACGGGGGGGGGCAAGCGUUGUUCGGAAUUACUGGGCGUAAAGGGCUCGUAGGCGGCCAACUAAGUCAGACGUGAAAUCCCUCGGCUUAACCGGGGAACUGCGUCUGAUACUGGAUGGCUUGAGUUUGGGAGAGGGAUGCGGAAUUCCAGGUGUAGCGGUGAAAUGCGUAGAUAUCUGGAGGAACACCGGUGGCGAAGGCGGCAUCCUGGACCAACACUGACGCUGAGGAGCGAAAGCCAGGGGAGUAAACGGGACUUGAGAAACCCGGUGUAGUCCA